UCCAAAGGUUAAUAUGGCUGCUCGUGAUGCCUUCACCCCGGAGUUUGCAUAAAUGGUAAAAUAAUGUAACUUUGGAGUUGUAACAUGAAGUGACUAAUAAUGCUAUUCACUCUUUUUGCAGGCUGCGUAAAGUAUGCUGUCAGUGCAGGCGUCAUGGAAGACCAUGCCAAGCUGGGAAUGUUGAGUGACGUCAGCUGCAGCAGCAACACAGAGCACCGUCCGUGGGGUCAAAAGGCCCUGCCUCACCCCUCCUUAAUAGCAACGGUUUCCUCGUCCAAAGGAAAAGCCUACCGAAAUGGAAAUCCACACUGGAGCCUCAGAGCCACCUCAAUGCGGCUUGCCUUGUGGAGUUGGUCAACUCCAGCCAACCCACGCAGUGCCACCUGGACGCCGCAACAGACAAGCUACCUUUUGAGCUAAUGCCUGUGCUCAAGCGGAUGACAUGGGGCAGAGCGAUUGCGUACCGUCUGAGGCACUGGAUGAAACUCUGCAAAAACUAUUGGAGGAGAAAAUCGCUGAAAACAAGCAACAGAAGACUACAAUAACAUCGCUGACUUAUACAGUCGAGUCAGGGACAGCGCAUCUGACCGCAGAUGGAUUCAAACAGAGCUCCCCCAAUCAUGAAACAGCUUGGAUAGAACAUCCACCCUGACCUGGAGCAGAGGAAACUCUGGGAUGUGGUCCACAAACUUCACGACCCCAAGAGCCUGAAUCGCCGGGAACCCAAGC